AUUCUAGGUUCUGUAGACUAAGAUCCCAUCUAACUUGAAGUAUACAUGAGUUCUAAAAUAAGACAAGAGGAGAGGAAAAUGGAAGAAGGAAGAAACAAGAAAGAAGGGGAGGAAAAGACGGGUAGUCUUGAAGUAGAGGCUGCGCAGCCGGGUUUUAUAUUCUGGGACAGACAGCAUCUAAGCAGAAUGGAGAUGUGUAUAAAGGAGAGACACUCAGGUUGCAGCAAGAGUGAGAUUCCCUGUGAUUCUAUCCAGUCUCCCUCAUCCCACUUCAUUAACCCCCCAGGCCCCCAUCACCCUUUCACCUACUCCCAUGAGUCCAGCAAACUUCUGAACCAUACCACUAAUCUCUCCUUGGACAAGUCAACCAAAGAGAGCCUGACCUGGAGAUGCAGUGCUCUAAGUGGAUGCUUUCCUUUAUUAUUAGCAUUAUUAUUGCCCUCCUUCUUGUCUUAUACUGGAUGACAGAUAAAAAUGGCCUCAGGACAAUUCUCCAAGUUGUUCCUUUUACUUUAGUGUUCAGUGUAAAAUGAUCAUUUUUUGGAAAUGAAUAAAAGUAUUAGAUUAAUAAUGAUAA